CAGCCGCCGCGGGAAAACCAGCACCUCGAGUGGUCAGGAGGUUUAUUGGGCCUAAAGCAUCCGUAGCCGGUUGCAUAAGUUUUCGGUUAAAUCUAUGCGCUUAACGUAUAGGCCGCCGAAAAUACUGUGCAGCUAGGGAGUGGGAGAGGUACACGGUACUCGAUAGGAAGGGGUAAAAUCCUUUGAUCUAUUGAUGACCACCUGUGGCGAAGGCGGUGUACCAGAACACGUUCGACGGUGAGGGAUGAAAGCUGGGGGAGCAAACCGGAUUAGAUACCCGCGUAGUCCCUGUCUCUUAUAA
rnacentral:rRNA from 1 species